rnacentral:rRNA from 1 species
GACGAACGCUGGCGGCAUGCCUAAUACAUGCAAGUCGAGCGAACAGAUGAAGUGCUUGCACUUCUGACGUCAGCGGCGAACGGGUGAGUAACACGUAAGGAAUCUACCUAUAAGCGGGGGAUAACAUUCGGAAACGGGUGCUAAUACCGCGUAAUAUCUUCUUCCGCAUGGAAGAAGAUUGAAAGACGGCUCUGCUGUCACUUAUAGAUGACCUUGCGGUGCAUUAGUUAGUUGGUGGGGUAACGGCCUACCAAGACGAUGAUGCAUAGCCGACCUGGGAGGGUGAUCGGCCACAUUGGGACUGAGACACGGCCCAAACUCCUACGGGAGGCAGCAGUAGGGAAUCUUCCGCAAUGGGCGAAAGCCUGAAGGAGCAAUGCCGCGUGAGUGAAGAAGGCCUUCGGGUCGUAAAACUCUGUUAUAAGAGAAGAACAAAUUGUAGAGUAACUGCUACAGUCUUGACGGUAUCUUAUCAGAAAGCCACGGCUAACUACGUGCCAGCAGCCGCGGUAA